AAGGCCAGUCUGGUCUAUAGAGCAAGUUCUAGGACAGUCAGAGACACACAGAAAUCCUGUCUCAGACCCCUCCACUGCUAGAAUCCUUAUUCAAACUCAAAAACAGCACACCUAUGUGUCCAUGAGCUAUUUAACACCUCAUUUCAAGAUGCUCCAUGUGAGAUUUGUUUUGCCCCAGUGUAAGUUUAUGUGGGUGUCCUGAGCACAUUUAAGGAAGAUUUAUUUAGGACCUUCUCUUCCUCCUAUGCUUGUCUAUCUCUUCCUUUUCUCCUUCCUUCCUCUCUUUCUCUUCCUUCCUUCCUUCAUUUCUUUUGAUGAGAGAACAGGAUCUCUCUACAUAGCCCAGACCAAUCUUGAAUCUGUGGAUAAUCUUUCUGCCUCAGUGCUGGAAUUACAGGUAGAGCCAUCAUGCCCAGGACUGCAUGCAGUUUUGAUCUGAUGCAUCUAUGAACUCACAAGUCCAGGAUUAUCUGUGUGCAUGGGGCUCUGCUUCCUUUGUCUUCCUCUGAGGCAUUCCCUAUGGUCUCCUUUAGCUCUUCACAUGCCGGAAUUCUGUAUAUGCACACCUGCUGAGAAGUGGGUCACAUCUAUCCAACAGUUCAGAUUUUAUUUUAAGUUCCUCAAGUAUAUUCUCUCUGCUAAGGUCACCCAUGUCUGGUGGAAAUCUCGAAUGUUCCUAGGAUCCAUGAGGUGACAAUGUUUCAAUAGCAGAAGCCCAUGCUGUCAUGGAAGGGACAGAACUGUCGCAAAAGAGUCUCGGUCAGCCUCAUCAUAUGCUCAGCUGUGGGUGAGUGAGUCACUGAACCUUUCUGAGUUUCUGUUUCCUUGUCUGUAAAUAUUAUUGGGUAUUAAAAUUAAAACAUCCAUCAUAGUAAGUAGCAAUGGUGGUAGAAUAUUUCCAGUUGCUCAGGAUCCAGUUUUAAGAUUUCACCCCUUACGCAGGGACCUCUGGCAUGGACUAAUAACUUAAAAUGGUAGAAAGAAUGAAAAAGAGGACAUUAUAUGAGCUCUUAGAGGAAGCAUUUGGGAUUCCAUGCCUGGGAAUACUUCAGUAGGACUACUUGGAAAGUUUGAGUGGCAUGUCUUGGGCUGUUGGGACAGAGGGGAUAGGGGUCUGGUAGGUGGGGGUGGGGCCCAAGUAACAACAGGCGUUUGUAAAGUCAUAAUUCUCCUCAACAUCAUGGAAAGCUCCACACAGGCCACCACAGUAGGAUAGGCUGAUCUGACACUUACUAACUUGUCUAAGAAGGGUGCCUGAAGGUGAUACUAAAGGAACCUUUAGAAAAUCAGGGCAGAGGGAAGUGUUGUUAGCAGGAAAACUAUCUCCAUUGGUGGGACCAACAGUUAUAGAUGCUGUGGGUAUCCCCAAGGUCAUCAAGUUUCCAGCCAUAAAAGAAUCAGACGCUGGCCAGCUGGAGAUCAUGGAGCUAUUUGUGACAGUCUCAGCUGUGAUACCUCCCUGAUCUCUCCCUGACUUUUUCUCUAGAAGGGUCAGGACCAGCAGCUCAGAAGUAGGAGUAAGGCAUGAGAAAGAGUUGUGAUAGGAAGGCAAGGAACAUGCAUCAGGCCCAGGCUCAAAGUGCUAUGAAUAGGGACAAAUUUAAGCUUCCAUCAAUGGAGUUUAAUCCUGGUCAGGAACUCCUAUCUUAACCCUAAAUAGACAUUGUGUUUGAGAUCAGACCUAGGGUUUACGGUAUCUUAUUAUCCCAGGAUGAGCUUCUGACUGUUUAGUCCUAUUGGAGAUUUGUAUGACUCUUCCAGCAUAUGCCCUCUGAAGGGACAGUAGGAGUAAAAUGAAGUUACAUUUAGAUGCAUCUCCCAGCAUUCUUGGUGGUAAGAUAAUAAUGCUAAAUGACUGCUACUAACUCAUAUCUCAAGAUGUAGCACGGCAUAUAGCAGUGCACAGUAUCAGACUUGUAUCAGAGGUCAGAUGGACAUAGCUGCUACUUCUGAGUGUUGCUGGAUAACUUCAUAAUCAGAUGAUUUUAUGUUGAAGAAAGUUCUAGGUGUCAACUGUCAUUUGGUUUUGAAACCCAGACCUUCUUAGACCUCAGAGUCUUCUGAGGAGUUAAUGGCCUAGUCUUUAUCCGCUAAAGUGACUCUGGAUCUUUCAGAACUAAUCCUGAGUGACCUCUUAGCUCUUGUGACUGCUGGCCUUUAGUAGGACACAUAUUCUUGUCAAUAUGAAAGCAAGGCUGAGGUAAGCUGGUGGAGGUCAGGAGUCUUUCUGGAUGCUGCUGGUGUUCACUCAGCCAGAAGAGAGCUGGAUGUGCAGAGAGUCAGGAGUGAACUGUGGAUUUGGAAGCAAGAAGCAUCCAUGGAAUAAGCUGGUCUUAAUAAGGAGUUCGACAUGGAGUUUUCUGAACAUGGAAACACUAAAGGCCGCAGUGAGCAUGAGAUAUGAGGUAUGUUCUGGGGAGAGGAGGAUGCAAAAAGGAUGCCCCUCAUUUAGACUUCUUUUCUUGUUGGUUCCUUAGCAGUGGAUAGUUCUAAUAAUAAUCAAAAAAAA
rnacentral:sRNA from 1 species